GAAGAAAUGGUGAAGAACCCAGAUUAAAUUAUCACGUUAGAAACGACCCUCUCAGAUGAAUCCCUGUCUACCCAGCCUGCAGAAGAUAGUGGCUUGGCACUGGUAGUACUCUUGGCUUUGAUUCCCUAAGCCACUAGAGGAGGAAGGAAAGCACAUCUGUUUCCUUGGCUGUUCACUGACUUUGGUGGCACAGAUAAGAAACACUUUGAAUGAUUUCUAAAAUCUUAGCAAAAUGAAGUUUUGUCCAGGCCAGGUAAAUGGGAGAAGAAAUUACUUGAAUGAAAUGCUAACUUAGUUUGAAACAUUUCCUGUCUAUCAGCCUCUCUUUUUGCUUUUUCACCUAUAUCCCGUUUCAUCCACCUAGAUGCAUCUCUAAAUUUCAGAAAUGCUGUUUUAAAGCGGCACAGACCACUGCUAACUGUAUGCCUGAGAGACCCCAUGGAGAGCGGGAACACCAGAUGUGCACCAGCCCCACCAGCUUCUGGCUUCUUGGACAGAGGGGAGCUGUAAGAUCUCUCCCAGGACUUCCAUGGGCAUCACAGACUGCACUGGCACCAAGCUGGGGUGCAGAGCCUUAGGAGGUAUUCUAUAGCUUAGCAAGAACAGAAAGGCUUGCUCCAGUUUCACAUGGAUGUACUCAAGCAGCCGGAUCCUUCUGCUCUGUCCUAAUUCCUUGUGUUGCAGAUAUCCUGCAGAUGAUGGCAACAGAAAAUGAAAGUUUUCUUUCUAAGCCUCAGUAAACACGUGCAGCAGAGGCCAGGAAGAAAAGAACGGCUUGAUUUUAAACCACUGCUGGUGGAAUCUAAGCUGCUGGAGAUAUGAAUUAUUUUGGCUACACGUACAGCCUGUCAUGCAUUCCAAUCUGCCUUCCUUCUCAGCCUUCAGCGACUGUGGCACAACAAUUAGCUCCAUUAUCUGCAAUGGGACACAAGAUGCAGCCUCUGCAUUUCCACAUCAAGACACCGACAGCCAAUGCCUUGAUCCGACAUGUUCUGUUCAAGGACAGCUUGCAAGACAGCGUCUUGUCUCACACACCGUGAUAUGAGGUCUUCAUCCAUGGUUGAAAUACAGGAAAUGCUGAGAUGGAAAGGCAGUGCCAGAGCUGUGAAGGCCUCUCGCAGUCCGUUGUGUUGUAAACUGGGAGAAAACUCAGCAGGGACAGCUCAUCUGAACUUCCUGAGGGAUUCUGAAUUUAGCCCUUCGCUCAGUAGUGUCACUUCAUAUGAGUAUAAUGGAAAUGGAUCUGGACUCUCCCUUCACUUUUUAUAGUAAAGCUCUUAUCUUGAUCUGUAGCAGCCCAGCCAAGAAAAGACACUGGAAGACCUCAUGGGCAUGGUCUCACGUCUUCAGGUUACAGGCGUGCAGCUCCAUCCACUUGUAGCAGCAUUCCUCCAGUGCUAUCAUGAGAUUCACUGGUGAUGUUCUGUAAAUGCCAGCCAAAAUCUAUCUGCAAGAACAUCUGCUCAACAGUGCAAAACUGAUGUAAUUACCAACCAUCAUCUUUUAUCCUCCUGCUGGGGCAACUGCUCCAAAGCAUGACUUUUUGCCCUGAGCUAACAAGAUCCAGAGGCUCGCUGCUAUGUACAAAUCCCGCCGCUGAAAACUAACAUGGCUGAUACACAAAUUCUCACAGGAUCUUUCAGCUGCGAGGGGUAACACGUACCCAAACAAGCUUCACCGUGGUCAGUGGAGGAGCCCCAAACUCAGGAUACCCGCAACACACACCUGGAAAUACUGCAGCAUGGGCAGAGAAGUGAAGGUAUUUGAAAGGAGACCAGAAAGGACUGCGUGGGCUCUAGGGCUUCAUGCACUGGAUAAGCAGCCCCAAGUAUUUCAAGGUUGCACUCAACUGCCUGGACAGGAACCCGAAGUCUGCUGUCAGUGCCUUUGCUGAGAUCACGGGAGAGUAACGGGAGACAAAGAUCAAUCUGCACCCCAGCUGCACGAUGCUGGCUGCCAGGGGGGAUGCAUGCACUGGGCUGACAUCAAGAGGAAAAGAAAGCAAGCAGGCAAGAAUGAAAAACAGAACUAGCUAAAUAACUGGCAGUGUUUCGGGAGAAGCCCAUCCUAUCGCAGAGAGCGACAACAGCCUCGGUAUUAUGAUUUAUGGAGUGCUGGUGUCACUCUAACAAGCUGAAGGACACACAAUAUCAUCUCCAACAUCAUUAAAAUUCAGAAGCCUCUAGAACUAACUCAUCAACCACCGCGCAUUGUCACACGCUAUGGAGCUGAGCUGUUCCCCACUUGGAAAAUGCCUUCCGGACAGUCGUCAUCCUGAAUCAUCUGAUUAAAAGGAUACAAAGAGAAGGAACGGAAAGGAAAGGGGGAAAGAGAGAGAAGCCAAACUCCACGGACAUUCUGGAAAUGAGGGACCUGCAACGGUUUCAUUCCCAUAGCAGAGCGGUGCUAUUAGUUCCUAUCACCUACAACAAAAUGAGUUCUCUGCCUUCUUCUGUUGCUGGAAUACGGGAGGCCCAAAAAGCAGGAGGUCUCCUGGAAAUAGCUGCUCCGUUCAAACCGCAGCUAUGAGGCCGCGACACGAUAAGCAAAAGCCGUGCAUUACUUUAGCUCAUGCUGUACCACGAAACUUCUAUUUUAUUGAAGUUCGGCUGUGCGCUCUGCCUCAGACCGCAGCUGUCCCUCCAUCCCAGGCGCCCGUUCUCCCUCCUUUUCCGCAGAAAAAGGCCAAACCCGCGCUCCCGGCACCGCGGUCCCACAAAGGCUAAAGCAGAACG
rnacentral:lncRNA from 1 species